rnacentral:lncRNA from 1 species
GCACAGUAGGUGCUCAGCCCCCAAAAUGCUUCUGUGACCAUGGUCUACUCCAAACCAGGGUUACCCGUGGAGCAGCAGUCCUCGAUGGCUCACUCUACUUUGCACGUGGGAAAAACCGGUGCCAGGAGGUGAUGUGGUCCAUCCAAAGUCACACAACUGGGGAAGGGCAGUCUGGCCCUCUGCCCCACCCAGGGCCUCAGGGAAAGGAGGAAGGGUUGGCUUCACUGGUCCUAGCAGAGGAGAGCCCCUCCCACCAGCCCCGUGCCAAGGCCAGGCUCCGUCUGUCCAGACCCGGCUGCCAGGGAGCGCGAGAGGGGAGAGAUGGUUCACUCCACCUCAUCAGGCCUUAUCAGCUGGUAGACGUGAUGAGGUCAGCGUGUGGCUCCUCGCCCUUCACCUCAGCCCUGCCCUCCUGCACCCCUCUGUUGUGUCUCCCAGGGUUCCAGGUAAGCGUCAGCAUAUAG